rnacentral:rRNA from 1 species
UACGUAGGAUGCAAGCGUUAAUCGGAAUUACUGGGCGUAAAGCGUGCGCAGGCGGUUUUGUAAGUCUGUCGUGAAAGCCCCGGGCUCAACCUGGGAAUUGCGAUGGAGACUGCAAGGCUUGAAUCUGGCAGAGGGGGGUAGAAUUCCACGUGUAGCAGUGAAAUGCGUAGAGAUGUGGAGGAACACCGAUGGCGAAGGCAGCCCCCUGGGUCAAGAUUGACGCUCAUGCACGAAAGCGUGGGGAGCAAACAGG